rnacentral:lncRNA from 12 species
GUCCGUGUCCUGUGGGUGCCCAGGGCAGAGCGCAGGUGCCAGGGGGCCAGUGUGACCUCUCCAAUCAGGACUUCCCAAGGCUGCCUGUGCUCCCACCCAUCUCAGGGCCUCAGGACUGGCAAAGGCCCUAGAGAUCUGCUGCCCACACCCUCAUCUUUAUUUUUCUCAACAGAGGAAGAAAUUGAGCGGCAGAGGGUGGAAGUGCCUCCUAUGGUUGCAGCUUGGCCACGCCUGAGUCUAUCGAUAGAGAAACAAAUAAAGGCUAUAUCAGAAUUUGAAUUGCUGAAAAAGCUGAAGAUGAGAGGCAGGGCUAAAAAGACCCUGAAGAAGGUCCCAGAGCUGGCCUGAGCCAGACUCCCUCCCGCACACAGGUAAGGACCCUGCCAGCCAUCACUUUUGUUGGCUUCUGGGAUUCCUGCUA